UUUGAUUUUAUUUGUUCAAGAGUUUUUGUGGAUAUAAUGGAGAAUUGAAAGUUGCUCAACCUAAUCUUGCUCGGUUCACCAUUAUAUCGACUAAGAAACUAGUAAGGUGUGCUCCCCUAAAAAAGUUCAUAAUUCUUCAAUACUUUAAAAUUUAUUUCAAGUAGAGAAGAAUGGUAUGGAAGUUGACAGUACAAAAUUUGGGUUUGUUGCAAGUUGUUCUAACUCAAGGAUGAGUUAUUUUUCAAAUGGGGAGUAUAAUGAGGAGCAUGUUCAUGUAGAAGCUGUAUUUUUAUUUUUAUUUUUUUUAUACUCCUUAUUCAGAGUUUAACAUUGUUCUAAUUUCCUUGUGCAGAUGGGAUGCAAUGCAUUGCAAGCAAAUGAGCAAUAAAAAUUUUAUUUUUUUUAGCUUUAAAUUUUAGGUUUUUAAUUUGUUCACUUUUAAUUUUCAUCUCUCUUUUGUUGAAUAUUUGCUGGUUCAUAUUGCUGGAUUCAUUGCCCUUUUGGUUAAUUUUAAGAGAAAAUUUUUCCAAAUUUUAACAUCUUGGUUUAACAAGAAAAUUAUUUGAAUAUGGGUGUGUGAAUUGGUGCUUUGAAAAAAUUAUUUUGUGCGAGUAUUUGAUGAACACAACAAGCUGGACAAUUAGGAUUCAUGUUAUGAAGGUUUAAUUAUUUGAAAUCUAAUUUGUUUCAAUUUUUUUUAGGUGCUAUGAAAUUUGGUCAAAUUGGGCAGCAGAUUACAUAACCGGGUUUUGCUUGUGUCGCCGCUUGUGUUCGCUGGGCACCCUUUUGGGAUAAAAACUCCCUUCACCGGAAUGGGCCAGCAGCAAACCCAAAACCCUAAAAACCGUACCCCACCAGCCCAAGCCCGAAAUUAAACCUAAAAUCCAAACAAAACCCAAAAGCCUAUACCCAAGCCCACAACCCAAACCUAAAGACCCUAACCCGAUAGCCCAUUACCUUCAUCUUCCUCUCGACAUCGCCCCCGACACAACCCUCCCUGCCAUAACCUUCAUUUUUCCCGUCGCCUUCACCGGCCGCCAUUCUUUCCAUAUUUCUCCUUUUCCGAUCACGCCCCUCCAUUUCACCAUGUCCGACUCCCCAUUAUCCUUCGAAAACUCACCUCCCCACUCCUUACAGCCGCCACAACCCCAAACCACGCCACCCAUGCAAGCCGACCCAUCGCCGGCCCAUUCUGGUGACGCUCCGAUCGCCACCUUCAAGAAGAAAAAGGCGAAAAGUAUCAAACCUCACAAAUCGACGGGCGGCGUCAAGCGGAAACAACCAGAACCGGCCACAAAACAACCCCCAAUCCCGCCUCCAAUGCCGGACGCACCUGCUGACCGACGUGGCAUUCCGAAAUCAGCAGUUAAGCUCCCCGGUACGUCUAAAGGUAACCUUGCAUUCCCUUCCUCUUCACCUACUGCUAUACAUUGGAUAUUACCUACUGCCGAAAUGAAGAAAAAUAAGGCAAGAGUUGCAGCCCGACAAAUGGUUCAAACUCGGUAUUUGGAUGUGUCUACACUUAAAACCUUGAAGAUUUAUGAUGAAAUGCAGUCUCUGUUAGAUGCUUUAGGUUGGGUGCGAUUUGCACAUAAACAGGAACUGGUCUACCCCAUUUUAGUGCAGGAAUUUCUGGCCUCCCUGUCCACUAAUGAGCAUAAAAUUGCUUUGGACAAUGACUUGACGAUCCAUUUUAGAUGCCUUGGUCAAGAUAGGGUGCUGUCUAUGGAUAAUUUUCACCAUAUAUUUGGCUUUCCACCUGAUGGUCUGUUCAAAAUACCUACUAACCAAUGGGACUAUAAUGCAUGUGAAUUUUGGAAGCGCAUUGCCCCUUCAGCAGGUAACUUCAAACCAGGACACAGUAAGGCCUCCAAAAUUGAAAAUCAUGCCUUGAGAUUGCUUCAGCGCCUAAUUGCAAAUACAAUUUUAGGCAGAGGAUCCAGUGUUGGCACAAUGUCACAGUAUGAUCUAUUCUUUUUGUGGUGUGCAAAAAUUGGCAGAAAGGCUUCCCCUGGUUAUUAUUUCUGCCGCCAUGUGAUUCGCCAGACCACUAGGGGUACUGGUAGUAUUGUCUUUGGAGGCUUGGUCACACCUAUUGCACAUUAUUUUGGGUUUAAUCCUCAAAUGCACAAGUGUCCUGCUCUUCCAACUGGUUUGUUAUUUUUGGAUGGACCUCAUCUAGCCAACCAAAAAUUUUGUAUCAAAAAUGAAGCUACCAAGCAGUAUGAGAUUCCUGCACUAACAGACAAACCACCUGGUUCUCCCACUGCCAUUAGUUCCUCCUCAGCAUCUGAGCGACCAUUUGUGCAGCCUCCCACACAACCUUCACGCCGAGCUCCACCAGCCGCUCAACCUGCUUCAUCAACAGCUUCUGGACCAUCCAUAGCAACUCUUUUGACAUUCAUGGAGAAUCUCAGUGAUGAGAUCUAUUCUUUUCGGCAAAUUACAGAGGUCAAUUUUCAGACACUACGAGAUUUAGCUGACAUAUAUUUGGAUCGAAGUGCUGAAAUGCAAGAUGAAUUGAAAGUCAUGCGAGCUAAGCUGGAGAAGAUCGAAACAAACCAAGCACUGAUUUUGAACAUUCUCUCUCCACAGCAGCCACCACAAGCACCACCACCGUCACAAGAUGGCAAGGGCAAAUGACUUCUCAUACCCGACUGACCAGCUUUUAUUCUCCAUUUACAUUUCAUGUCUUUAAUUUCGUUAAUUAGUAUUUUGAACUUGUUAAUAUUUUGCUUGUGUUGUUUUUAUUUUAACCAUUUACUUAUUCAGUUUUUUUAGUUCCUCAUAACAUACAUUUUUCUUUUAUGUUUUUAGUACAUUGCUCACUUGCUUUAAUAUGCUCCUUCAGAAUUUACACUUGAUAAUUAUAUUACCUGCGCUUAACUUCCCUAUUCCAAAUUUUUGAGAUUAAUCGAUUUAAUGGAUUCCAUUGCACUGUUUCUUUUGCAAUGAGUGCAGCAGCUGUCCAAAUUUUACUUAAUUAAAUUGGCUGCACUUCAAUGAGGUAACAAUUCUCAUCUCAGCUUGUGUCACUUUCAACACAAGUUGUGCUAUCGCUUAUGCAACAGGGUAAUAAUUCUUUAUCCACAUAUGAGCCCCCAUUUUGCACAGCCAAAUUAUCCCAUGCACUCUCUUAACAUUGAGGACAAUAUUCAUUCUGAGUAUGGGGGAGAGGGUAAAUUUUUUGCAAAAAUUAUUUUUCCUUUUUCAUUUGCAUAUAGUGACACAUUCAUUACUACGUAUAUACACUUGCAUAUAGCCUCAUAUACUUAGUUACGCAUACUUAGUUGCAAUUAGGUUGACUAUACAUUUACACUCAUGCAUAUCAUUCACUCAUUUAAAAUUUUUGAAUUUUUAAACCAGUCUUUGAAUUCCAUAAGCCACUUAUUCAAGCAAUCCAGCUUGCCUUUAGAUGGUUAGUGGAAUGAAAGUUCCAGCUGGGUACAAAGUCUUAAGCAUUAUUCUUUCUCUUACUUAAUAGCUGAAAAUUAAUAUAUUCAUCUAAGUAUGCAGAUUCUAAUUAGUUAUUUUGAGUUUUUGAGUGUCUGAAUAAGCCUUUAAGGAAGAAAAUGGUCAUUGUCGUCUCACCAUUCCUAGAACAAGCAUCUUAGAUCUUUCAAAGCGAAAUUUUUAACUUGUAUUUAAUAAGAAUAUGAUUUAGGCAUUUCUUCAUAUUUUAAACCUCACAUUUAGCCUUAACCUACCUUAAUUUCAUUUCAACCCUUGCAAACCCCCUUGAACCUUAAUUCCCUAAUUUCUUUGGAACCCAAAUCAUUUACCUAGCCAUAAAACCUAAACACUACUACCUAUUUAUGAGAAUAAUAUUUUAGCAAUUAAGUGCAUAAAAAAUUUUGAUAAAAAAAAAACUUGGAGGAUUGAAACAUCUUGAAAAGUGCUAGAGUAAUUGUGAAAAGUUGAUAAAAAAAAAUAUAGUCACAAAAAUAUCCCAAAGGUAAUUUUGGGUGUGACGUGAAAUAGGGACACAUACAAAAUAAAAAAAAUAUAUUAUAAAAGUAGUCCCUUUAUUGUGUUAGCACUUAAGAUUCAUUGUGAAUUUCUUUCCUCUUGAUAAAAAAAAUUACUAUUAUAAAAAAAAAAUGGAUGCACUUUGA
rnacentral:misc_RNA from 1 species